CAUUACAAGAACGCCCGGGCUUCGGCCUGGUUAUUCAUAACCCUUUGUUGUCCGACUCUGUUGCCUCCGGGGCGACCCUGCCUUCGGGCGGGGGCUCCGGGUGGACACUUCAAACUCUUGCGUAACUUUGCAGUCUGAGUAAACUUAAUUAAUAAAUUAAAACUUUUAACAACGGAUCUCUUGGUUCUGGCAUCGAUGAAGAACGCAGCGAAAUGCGAUAAGUAAUGUGAAUUGCAGAAUUCAGUGAAUCAUCGAAUCUUUGAACGCACAUUGCGCCCCCUGGUAUUCCGGGGGGCAUGCCUGUUCGAGCGUCAUUUCACCACUCAAGCCUCGCUUGGUAUUGGGCAACGCGGUCCGCCGCGUGCCUCAAAUCGUCCGGCUGGGUCUUCUGUCCCCUAAGCGUUGUGGAAACUAUUCGCUAAAGGGUGUUCGGGAGGCUACGCCGUAAAACAACCCCAUUUCUAAGGUUGACCUCGGAUCAGGUAGGGAUACCCGCUGAACUUAAGCAUAUCAAUAAGCGGGA
rnacentral:rRNA from 1 species